AGACACCAUGACCAGCGCGACUCUUAUAGAGGACAACAUUUAGUUGGGGCUUACAGGUUCAGAGGUUUGGUCAAUUAUCAUCACAACAGGAAGCAUGAUGGCAUGCAGACAGACAUGGUGGUGGAGGAGCUGAGAGUUCUACAUCUUGAUCUGAAGGCAGCCAGCAGGAGGCUGUCUCUUCCCUAUUGGGUGGAGCUUGAGCACUAGGAGUCCUCAAAGCCCGCCUACUGUGACCCACUUCCUCCAACAAGGCCCCGCCUCCAGCACUUCCCUGGGCCAAGCAUCUUCAAACCACAACAAUGCACUGUGCAGCCUGUUUAAAUGUCUUUACAGAAAAUGCAGUAUACUCCGUGGGGAGGUUUGUUUGUGGUCUAGACAACGAUGUUUCCCUAAAAACUGUUGAUCUGGGCAUGAAGUGUAUUCCUUUAAGCCCCAUAGUUGGGAUGCAGAUGCAGGCCAAUCUCUGUGAGUUUGAGACCAGACAGGUAUACAUAGUAAGUUCCAGGCCAUCCAGAGAUAUAUAGUGACAUCCUGUCUCAAAAAAAAAAAAAAAAUGUUGGUUCAUUCUGAAGCUACACAAUAGAGUAGAUGCAAGGCUGCCCUGUGCAAAUCGAGUGAGUACAAAAUUGAGUGUUAGAACAGUGAUGCUCAGGCUACUGGGAAUGCCGGGAUCUUCUCAGUGCCAGCCAUGGUCUACUCUCAGAACUCUGCAGUUUAGCUUGAGUAAAGGCAAACCUGUGGUCUGUGUCAUAUCUAGUUGGUUAUCUCUGACUGGUGGAGGCUGGCCAGCCAGCGCUAAAACCGGAAGCCCAGAGUUUGACCUUUUGGACAUACUGGUUUGAUCCUGAUGAGGAAAUGCUACUACUAAGUUGUCUUUUAUCUUUUUUUUUUUUUUUUGUUCUUUUUUUCGGAGCUGGGGACCGAGCCCAGGACUUUGCGCUUCCUAGGUAAGCGCUCUACCACUGAGCUAAAUCCCCAGCCCCUGUCUUAUCUUUCCUAUAAUCUAGUAGUUGUAGGUGGUGGUGGUGGCACACACGUUUGAUACCAGAACUUGGGAGGCAGAGGCAGGCAGAUCUCUGUGAGUUCAAGGCCAGCGUGGUUUACAUAAUUCCAGAACAGCCAGGGCUGUGAGACCCUGUCUCUAAAAGCCCCCAAAACAAAGCAGACAAAAAACAGAGCAAAACAAAAAUUAGCAACUGCUAAUUUAGUAAUCCUGCAGUUUGGCUAAGAACACGGCUUUGGAAGGAAUAGAUUGGUGUUUAACUGUCCCAUGUUCUAUCAGCUGAAUGAGUUUUAGACCAGUGAUAAUUCUCUACAGAUAAGAGAACAGGUAAGACCUAGAUAAUAAUCCUUCCUUCGGCCACUGCUGUGAAUUCAAAAGAACACCCACCCCAAGGCUCCUGCAGCACAGGGGACUGGGCAGGCAGAUUUAUAGAUUAGGAAUUCUUACUCUUGCUGACCUAUUUAUUUAAUUUGCUUAUUAGCUUUGAGACAGAGGCUCCCCAAGUGUCAGGACUGCAGACGUGUGCCACUAGGACCAGUUUACAGAUUAAAACAAAACAAUGACCACAACAGAGAACAACUGUUGCCAUUUAAACAGCUGGAGAGCCGCGAGGGAAGUGAGUUCACUGGAGUUAAAGACGGUUAGAUAAAGGAAACGGCCGCUGGUUGUUAGCAAUUCAACCGUUCUGCCACACAGGUCUUUGAGAAGCAGAGAGAGCCAGUUAUUUAUUUAUUUAUUUAUUUAUUUAUUUAUUCAUUCAUUCAUUCAUUCAUUCAUUCAUUCAUUCAUUCAUUCAUUCAUUCUUGACUUAUGGUCAAGGAGAAAGUUUAUUGUAGAUAAAAGGGAGAGCGGAGCUGGAGGCAGAACGGCCUAAGAGAGUCCAGAGUGGGCGGGACCCUGAGCCGUGGGGGGUGGGGGGGAGGCGCCGAGAACCAGGUGCAGCAGCUAAGACAGCAAACGGCAAAAGAAAGUUAUUUUGAGGCUUUUAUUACAUAAGGCCAGAGCAAGGCUGAAAGGAAAUUCAUCUCAAAGCUAUUAAGAAAAGCCAGAUAGAAAGGGAACAUAAAACGCAGUGAGCUAUGGUCAGAGGAGCAGACCCUCUCCCAGCCAGCUCUCCAUCAUCCCAGAUGCCCAGAUGGAACAAAGAUUUAGAGUUUCAGACAGAGCUCCAGCGCAGGACGGACGGAAGUGGGGCUGCCACGUGAGAACAUUAUUUAUUCUGUGUUCUUAGACGCAGGAAGACAAAGAAACCACCUGGCAAUGGCUUAGCUGAAGCAGAGUAACUCGUCCCACGCCCAGACUGUCCCCGUGGCCCCCACCGGAUGCACCUGAAGAUCAGUUCUUGCGUCCUCGUGUCUGUCUUCUGUGUAUAUGUGCUAGAGACGAGCAGAGGAGUAAUGAAGUCUCCGUGCACCUCCUCAGUGUCGGCAGGACAGGCUAUGUGAUCUAUCACCGGGCUGGGGGCCUUUGCUCUAUGCAGACAGAAAUUACUAGUAGGCAAGAGCAAGUCCUUCACUGAGGGCAAUCCCGAGCCUCUGAAUGCUCAGAACUUAGGGGCUGGACUGGUGGAGUCAGUGGUUUUCAGCAAAGCCUUGACAGCUGGGACCUUACGUUUUAGGCUUUAGAGAUUAGAGACUCUGGUUGGAGCCGUGCUCUGAGCUUCAGCCACAGAUGACCCUGGCACUUGAGCACUAUUGGAACCUUCAGUUUGUGUCGUCGUCGUCAUCAUCGUCAUCAUCGUCGUCGUCGUCGUCAUCAUCAUCAUCAUCACCAUCACCAUCAUCGUCAGCAGCAGCAGCAGGCCAUGCCUGGAUGUUGAGAUCCUGAGUUUCUACGGUAACUAAAGACACAGCUCUCUGCCCGAGAUGCCAGGAUCCUUGACCCUUGAGAUAGGUUAUCGCCGUAGGCCUUGAACUUAAGGUGCCUGGAUCCUCAGCCCUCCAGGAGCGGUUCUCAGCAUGUGGGUAGAAUGAACUCUCCACAGGAGUCACAUUCCGAUAUCCUGCAUAUCAGAUAUUUACAUCACCAUGUAUAACAGCAGUAUGAGUUUAUGGUUGGGGUCACCACACAUGAAGAACUGUACUAACGGUUGCAGCGUCAGGAAGGUUGAGAACCACUGCCUUAAGGUUUGAGAGCUCUCUUGCACUCUUUCAGUAGCCGAGUCCAUAGUUUCUCAUCCGCAGCCCCUCAAAGCCUUCGCCAUCACUGCCUCUCCUCUCUCUUGUGCUCUGGGAUUCUUCAACUGCUCUCUUGGGGCUGCCCCUCCAUUAACUCUGCUUCCACUCUCUCUGCCUCUUAUCACGGCACGGCUAUUUCUGCCAUCUUUUCCGGGUGUUAGCAUCUCAGUUAACAAUAAAGAUCAAAAGCCGGCAAGAAAAAAACCAUUCUAGAGAAACAUUUUAAUGAGCCUGGGUUGCAAUACUGGGUGCACUCAGGAGGGCGUUUCCUGGCUGGUGCCAAAUAGCCUUGUUCCAUAGCCAGCUCACGGUUACAGCCCUCAGGAAGGACUGUGUUUGCACCAAUCACAAGCUUCUGUUGCAUCCCUUGAAGUGCUCCCCCUCUGGCGGGAAUGGGAAUAGCUGCGGGGUAAGUGCAUUUACCAAGGCUCAUUUAGGGCGCUGCUUCCAAGGCCAGUGCAGGUUGCCUAGAGUGGUCCUGACUAGAGCAUGCUUCAGCCAUAGCUGUAGUGGCCAUCAGCAUUGCUUUGGUAUCCUCAGAGUGAUUGUAAAAGGUCCAAAAGAGCCAGGCUGCUGCCCAUGCUAGCUAGCUGCAGCAGAGGGUCCGCUUGGAUGUGGUUUCUGCUUGGCCGUGUGGAUUCUCUGCUUGAAGCUGCCAGGCAUAGUAAAAAGGCCUGUCGGGCAGUCUGCUCUUGGUAAUUUUCAACACCAUAAUCCGACUUUAUUUUUUAUUGUUUUAAAAAGAUUCAUUGUAUUUAAACUUUUUUUUUUUUUUUUUUUUUUACUUCUGUGUAUAUGUGUGUGUGGGUGUCCGUGUUGCCACCUCUGUGCAAUGCCCAAGGUGGCCAGAAGAGGGUACUGUAUUGUCCGGAGCUGGAGUUAACAGUUGUGAGCUGCACAACAGGGGUGCUGUGAACUAAGUUUCAGUCCUCUGCAAUAGUGGCAAUAUUCCCAACCACUGAGCCAUCCAGCCCUGCUCUACAGUCUAGCUUUAGACCGUUUUUGUUCUUAAAAAGAAGUCCCACACUCUCUAGUGGCUAUUUCUCCCCAACUCAAGGAAUCAUAGUACAGAUAUUUUUGGGUCUGGCUUUCUCUCUGAGUGUAUUUUCAUGGCUUACCCAUGCUGGGACAUGUAUCAUUACUGGUCUGUUGGCUGACUAGUAUCCCGUCGCACGGAUACAGAUCACUUUAUUCCUGCAUUCGUCAGUCCAUGACAUUUGGAUCGUUUCUAUUUCCUGGGUGCUAAGGAACAAUUACUCUAUGAACAUUACCAUGUAUAAGUUUUUGUGCUGAUGGCAUGUCUUCAUUUCUCCUAAACAUAUGUCAAGUCAUGAAGGUGGCAGGUCACAAGGAUGCUUACCCUUUGGAACUUCUACCUGGACUUCGUGCUGGUCCCACGUUCUCUACAGCCUUGCAAACACUUGCUCUGAGCUGUCUUUUUCAGUCAUCCUAGUGGAUAGAAAGUGAUAUCUCAUUGUAAUUUCGCCACUAAUGUUUAAAUAAAAAUUUUCUUCUUUAA